CAGCCGCCGCGGGAAUACGUAGGUGGCAAGCGUUGUCCGGAAUUAUUGGGCGUAAAGGGCUCGCAGGCGGUUUCUUAAGUCUGAUGUGAAAGCCCCCGGCUCAACCGGGGAGGGUCAUUGGAAACUGGGAAACUUGAGUGCAGAAGAGGAGAGUGGAAUUCCACGUGUAGCGGCGAAAUGCGUAGAGAUGUGGAGGAACACCAGUGGCGAAGGCGACUCUCUGGUCUGUAACUGACGCUGAGGAGCGAAAGCGUGGGGAGCGAACAGGAUUAGAUACCCGUGUAGUCCCUGUCUCUUAUAC
rnacentral:rRNA from 1 species